rnacentral:rRNA from 1 species
CGGGGUGAGUAAUGUCUGGGAAACUGCCUGAUGGAGGGGGAUAACUGCUGGAAACGGUAGCUAAUACCGCAUAACGUCGCAGGACCAAAGAGGGGGACCUUCGGGCCUCUUGCCAUCGGAUGUGCCCAGAUGGGAUUAGCUAGUAGGUGGGGUAACGGCUCACCUAGGCGACGAUCCCUAGCUGGUCUGAGAGGAUGACCAGCCACACUGGAACUGAGACACGGUCCAG